rnacentral:lncRNA from 1 species
UGGGUAUAAUAGUGAUCUUAACAUGAAUAUCUAUGAGCAAUAUUUUCAAAUAUGACAUGAAUAUAUGACAAGAAUAAUUUAUGAUUCAUGUUUAUGAAAUAUUCAUGAUUUAUGCAUGCAUGAUUAGUUUAUGAUUUAUUUUAUUAUAUAUUUUAUGAAAUAUUUUAUUUUGUAUUAUCUAUUAUUUUUUAAAUUUAUAUUAUCAUAAAAAUUUAUGCUGGAUCCUGUAAGA